CCUACGGGGGGCUGCAGUGAGGAAUAUUGGUCAAUGGCCGAGAGGCUGAACCAGCCAAGUCGCGUGAGGGAAGACGGCCCUACGGGUUGUAAACCUCUUUUGUCGGGGAGCAAAGCGAACCACGUGUGGUUCAUUGAGAGUACCCGAAGAAAAAGCAUCGGCUAACUCCGUGCCAUCAGCCGCGGUAAUACGGAGGAUGCGCGCGUUAUCCGGAUUUAGUGGGUUAAAGGGGUGCGCAGGCGGAGGUGCAAGUCAGCGGGCAAAUUGCGGGCUUAACUUGUAGACUGCAGUUGAAACUGGUGUUCUUGAGUGAAGUAGAGGUUGGCGGAAUUCCGAGUGUAGCGGUGAAAUGCGUAGAUAUUCGGAGGAACACCGGUGGCGAAGGCGGCCAACUGGGCUUUAACUGACGCUGAGGCUCGAAAGUGUGGGGAGCAAACAGGAUUAGAUACCCCUGUAGUC
rnacentral:rRNA from 1 species